rnacentral:misc_RNA from 1 species
GACGAUGAUUCAGCUCCCAAAAAGCCUGGUUGCGAGAAUGACUUCGUCUUGGUAAAAGUUCAAACUUGGGUCAAUGGAAUAGAGGAUGCUGAAUUUGUUGGCGUGGGUGCUAGAUUUGGCACCACCAUUGUAUCAAAGGAGAAAAAUGCAAAUCAAACUCGCCUCACUCUUUCAGAUCCUCGAGAUUGUUGCACUCCUCCCAAGAACAAGCUUGAUAGGGAUAUCAUUAUGGUUGAUCGAGGCAUGUGC